rnacentral:rRNA from 1 species
CCCUUAGAUGUUCUGGGCCGCACGCGCGCUACACUGAUGCAUUCAACGAGUCUAAAACCUGCUCUGAUAGGGGUGGGUAAUCUUUUGAAUGUGCAUCGUGAUUGGGAUAGAUGAUUGCAAUUUUUCAUCUUCAACGAGGAAUGCCUAGUAAACGCAAGUCAUCAGCUUGCAUUGAUUACGUCCCUGCCCUUUGUACACACCGCCCGUCGCUCCUACCGAUUGAAUGAUCCGAUGAAUAUCAUAGACUGAGAGUAUAAGCAGGUUCGCCUGUCUUUGAUUCUCGGGAAGUGAAGUAAAUCUUAUCAUUGAGAGGAAGGAGAAGUCGUAACA